rnacentral:misc_RNA from 1 species
GAACGCACAUUGCGCCCGCCAGUAUUCUGGCGGGCAUGCCUGUUCGAGCGUCAUUUCAACCCUCAAGCACAGCUUGGUGUUGGGACUCGCGUUAAUUCGCGUUCCUCAAAUUGAUUGGCGGUCACGUCGAGCUUCCAUAGCGUAGUAGUAAAACCCUCGUUACUGGUAAUCGUCGCGGCCACGCCGUUAAACCCCAACUUCUGAAUGUUGACCUCGGAUCAGGUAGGAAUACCCGCUGAACUUA